GUUUCUGUGAUCUGGCAAGACCAAAGGAUGUGAUAUGCUGAGAGACAUCUGAAGAGUUAAGAGGAUCAUGUUUCUUUCUUCCAAAUGCAAGAGCAGUAGGAAAUGAAGACACCCACCUAACACAAUAUCCAGAAGUAGGUGGCAGGAGGAACAUGCAGCUGCUUGAGCAAGUCGUCCAGGAUCCAGCUCUUCCAGAUUCCUGCGGCACCAUCCUCCACACGUGGCAUUCUUCCUCAUGAUUAUAAGCUUUUUCACUGUCAUCGCUUUUGACAACACCAUCAACAUGGUAUGGUCUACAUAACUAACAUUUAUUGAGUGCUCACUGUGGACCAGCCACUGGGGAUUGAAGCUUCUAGUCUCCUUGACUGCAUCAAGUUAGGAAGGAAUGUGAAACAGAUAGUGUCUGAGUUCGGGUUUCGUUUUCGGAUGAGAGGUGCAAUGAUUAUCUGAGCAACAGAAACAAUCUUCGUCCAACCAGCAAAAGAGAGAUUUGGAGAAAGAGAAGGAAGCAGCUCACGGAACAGAAGGUCAGGAGAGUCCCAAGGAGAAGGAUCAUAUCUGGUUUCCUCUUCUGCUUCUACCCGGUGUCUAGGAGAGUGCACGCUCAGUCAGCAUUGAU